rnacentral:misc_RNA from 1 species
CCGAGUUCGUACCCUCUGGGUAGACCUCCCACCCGCUGUUAUUACUACGAUUGUUGCUUUGGCGGGCCGCCGGGCCCUGCUCGGCCGCCGGCCCCGCCGGCGCGCGCCCGCCAGAGGCCCUUCAAGACUCUGAAUGUUUAGUGUCGUCUGAGUACUAUUUAAUAGUUA